rnacentral:rRNA from 1 species
CCUACGGGAGGCUGCAGUGGGGAAUAUUGGUCAAUGGACGAGAGUCUGAACCAGCCAAGUAGCGUGAAGGAUGACUGCCCUCUGGGUUGUAAACUUCUUUUAUAUGGGAGUGAAAUGUUCCACGUGUCGUAUUUUGUAUGUACCAUAUGACUAAUGAGCAGCUAACGCCGUGCCAGCAGCCGCGGUAAUACGGAGGUUCCGUGCGUUAUCCGGAUUUAUUGGGUUUAAAGGGAGCGUAGGUGGAUUGUUAAGUCAGUUGUGAAAGUUUGCGGCUCAACCGUAAAAUUGCAGUUGAAACUGGCAGUCUUGAGUACAGUAGAGGUGGGCGGAAUUCGUGGUGUAGCGGUGAAAUGCUUAGAUAUCACGAAGAACUCCGAUUGCGAAGGCAGCUCACUGGACUGUAACUGACACUGAGGCUCGAAAGUGUGGGUAUCAAACAGGAUUAGAUACCCCUGUAGUC